UAAAAAUAAGGAACACUUCUAUGAUCCUGACACGUGCAAAGGAUAUCUGAAUUAUCGCCUGAAGACGGUAACAAGGAAGACCUCAUAUCGACCCAUCAAGAAGAGUAUUUCACCCCAGUCGGGAGGCCCAACCUAUAGAAGGAAGACUGACCUGGACCACCAUCUUGUUGGUGAUGCUUGCAAAGAGGCCAUAUCAUUUCUUGUACCCUUGGCCGAUGAAAAACAAAUCUAUCAGAAGAUGAAGGAAGUGUUCCAGUAUCGCCAGGAACUAGUUUAUAGUCCAGACAGAAGCACAGAUGUCCUCAGUCUUUCCCAGGUUUCUGGUCAUCAAAGGAUUGGUGAAUCAGGACCUUUUGCUGAUGUUCGACAAUUAAACAUCCUGUAAGCUCCUUGAAAAGUGGGACACUGUAUUGAAGCCCAAAGUCAUCAAACUGACAAAAUCCCUAACUACGACCAUCAAUUUGCGUCGCCUCCUGAAGUCUGCAGAAAAACUGCCAGAGAAUGACAGGGAAACCAACUGGAACAAGGAUAUGUCCUCUCUGCUGCUGCUUCAUCUCCUCCCACCACCAGCAGGAGGGAAGAGGACCAAGCUCAGUGCCAGUGAUGCUGUGGGCAGACUAGUGCACUUUCAUAAGUUAUGUUAGGUUCAUAAGUUAAGAUGAUACAGUAAUUGGCGUGUAAUUAAUUUUUGGGGUUGUGUCUUUGUCUUAACAUGUGGAGAGUGACCUAAAAAAAAGACUUUGUGUUGCAGUCAUGCUGCAGCAUUGUAGACCAUCUUGAUGGGAGCCAUGGUCGACAGCCAUUACAGUGAGGAGGACCCUAAGAUUGUCUUGCGUGAUAAAGAUCAAUUUGAAAUGCAUUUGAAUCAGUUGCAAUCAGACCCACAGCUCCCAUCUGUGUAUGGUGUAAAAAAUUCUAAACUAAACAGUUUGCAGCACUUCCAUGUUUGAAAUAAUAAUUAAAAUAAUAGUUUACAUAAUGCAUGAUAUUCUUGAAGGGGUGGCUCUGUUUGAGUUAAAAUUGUUUGAAUAUGUCUCUGAAAAUGUCAUUUUGAAACGUGCGCUUCUCUCUAGAAUCUACUCGUUUGACUAUGGGUACUUGGAGCGCAAAAAACGUCCAACUAAAGUCAACCUAGGGAACAGUGGAAAUAGCCUUGCACUUAAUUCUAUUCAAACUCUAUCUUGUGAGAAACGUUCCCUUGAUUUUGGUGAUGUUGCUCCAGCAGGAAAUGAGAACUGGAAUUUGCU